rnacentral:rRNA from 1 species
UUCGCAAUGCCCGAAAGGGUGAACGAGCGACGCCGCGUGCGGGAUGAAGGGUUUCGGCUUGUAAACCGCUUUUCUUUGGGAAGAAUGUCCGGAUCGUGUAUCCGGAUGCGACGGUACCAGGGGAAUAAGCCCCGGCUAACUCCGUGCCAGCAGCCGCGGUAAGACGGAGGGGGCAAGCGUUGUUCGGAAUUAUUGGGCGUAAAGGGCUCGUAGGCGGAUCGGCGGGUCUGGCGUGAAAUCUCCACUGCUCAACAGGGAGAGGCCGCUGGAAACUACCGAUCUGGAGUUCGGCAGAGGACCAUGGAAUUCCAGGUGUAGCGGUGGAAUGCGUAGAUAUCUGGAAGAACACCGGUGGCGAAGGCGGUGGUCUGGGCCGAAACUGACGCUGAGGAGCGGAAGCCAGGGGAGCAAACGGGAUUAGAUACCCCGGUAGUCCUAGCCCUAAACGUUGGGCACUAAGUAGAGGGGUUUU